rnacentral:rRNA from 1 species
AUUGAACGCUGGCGGCAUGCCUUACACAUGCAAGUCGAACGGCAGCACGGGAGCAAUCCUGGUGGCGAGUGGCGAACGGGUGAGUAAAGUAUCGGAACGUGCCCAGUCGAGGGGGAUAACGUAGCGAAGGUUACGCUAAUACCGCAUACGAUCUAUGGAUGAAAGCGGGGGAUCGCAAGACCUCGCGCGAUUGGAGCGGCCGAUAUCAGAUUAGGUAGUUGGUGGGGUAAAGGCUCACCAAGCCGACGAUCUGUAGCUGGUCUGAGAGGACGACCAGCCACGCUGGGACUGAGACACGGCCCAGACUCCUACGGGAGGCAGCAGUGGGGAAUUUUGGACAAUGGGCGAAAGCCUGGUCCAGCCAUGCCGCGUGCAGGAUGAAGGCCUUCGGGUUGUAAACUGCUUUUGUACGGAACGAAAAGGUUUGGCCUAAUAAGCUGAGCUCAUGACGGUACCGUAAGAAUAAGCACCGGCUAACUACGUGCCAGCCGCCGCGGUAA